rnacentral:rRNA from 1 species
GGUCGCGACCAUACAAUGUUGGAAACACCGGUUCUCGUCUGGUCACCGAAGUUAAGCAACCUUGGGCCUGGUUAGUAAUUGCAUGGGUGACCGGCUGAGAAUACCGGGUGUCGCGGCCG